GACGAACGCUGGCGGCGCGCUUAACACAUGCAAGUCGAACGGAAAGGCCUGCUUUCCCUUGUGGAUUGCGGGUACUCGAGUGGCGAACGGGUGAGUAACACGUGAGUGAUCUGCCCCCAACUUGGGUAUAAGCCUGGGAAACUGGGUCUAAUUCCCGAUAGGACUGCAGGGUGGUGCCUGUGGUGGAAAACGAUUUUCUAGUGGUUGGGGAUGAGCUCGCGGCCUAUCAGCUUGUUGGUGGGGUAAUGGCCUACCAAGGCGGCGACGGGUAGCCGGCCUGAGAGGGGGGACGGCCGCAUUGGGACUGAGAUACGGCCCAGACUCCUACGGGAGGCAGUAGUGGGGAAUAAUGCACAAUGGGCGGAAGCCUGAUGCAGCGACGCCGCGUGGGGGAUGACGGCCUUCGGGUGGUAAACUCCUUUCGACCGCGAGGAAGCCGCCUGGUUGGAAGGGUGGUGACGGUAGUGGUAGAAGAAGCACCGGCUAACUACGUG
rnacentral:rRNA from 1 species